GAUGAAGAACGUAGCGAAAUGCGAAAAGUAAUGUGAAUUGCAGAAUUCAGUGAACCAUCGAAUCUUUGAACGCACAUUGCGCCCGCUGGAACUCCGGCGGGCACGCCUGUCCGAGCGUCAUUUCAACCCUCAGGCCCCCCUUCGCGGGCGGGCCCGGUGUUGGGGCCCGGCCGCUACCCUGCGGCCGUCCCCUAAAUCCAGUGGCGGCCUCGCCGUGAUCCCUUGCGUAGUAAUGCACCUCGCACCGGAGAGCGCCGUGGCCACGCCGUAAAACCCCCAAUUUUCAAUGGUUGACCUCGGAUCAGGUGGGAAUACCCGCUGAACUUAAGCAUAUCAAUAAGCGGAGGA
rnacentral:misc_RNA from 1 species